rnacentral:snoRNA from 1 species
ACCGUUCAGUGAUGAGUCGCUGGAAGAAGCGCCGGGCACGGCGCCCGAAACGAAUGAGGAUACUCUCCUUGCUGCCUUCCUUCUGAGAACGGU